rnacentral:rRNA from 1 species
UGCAGUCGAACGAACCCUUCGGGGUUAGUGGCGCACGGGUGCGUAACGCGUGGGAACCUGCCUUUAGGUUCGGAAUAACAGUUAGAAAUGACUGCUAAUACCGGAUAAUGUCUUCGGACCAAAGAUUUAUCGCCUUUAGAUGGGCCCGCGUUAGAUUAGGUAGUUGGUGGGGUAAUGGCCUACCAAGCCGACGAUCUAUAGCUGGUCUGAGAGGAUGAUCAGCCACACUGGGACUGAGACACGGCCCAGACUCCUACGGGAGGCAGCAGUGGGGAAUAUUGGACAAUGGGCGAAAGCCUGAUCCAGCAAUGCCGCGUGAGUGAUGAAGGCCUUAGGGUUGUAAAGCUCUUUUACCAGGGAUGAUAAUGACAGUACCUGGAGAAUAAGCUCCGGCUAACUCCGUGCCAGCAGCCGCGGUAAUACGGAGGGAGCUAGCGUUGUUCGGAAUUACUGGGCGUAAAGCGCGCGUAGGCGGCUAUUCAAGUCAGGGGUGAAAUCCCGGGGCUCAACCCCGGAACUGCCCUUGAAACUGGAUGGCUAGAAUCCUGGAGAGGCGAGUGGAAUUCCGAGUGUAGAGGUGAAAUUCGUAGAUAUUCGGAAGAACACCAGUGGCGAAGGCGACUCGCUGGACAGGUAUUGACGCUGAGGUGCGAAAAGCGUGGGGGAGCAAACAGGAUUAGAUACCCUGGUAGUCCUACGCCCGUAAACGAUGAUAACUAGCUGUCCGGGCACAUGGUGCUUGGGUGGCGCAGCUAACGCAUUAAGUUAUCCGCCUGGGGAGUACGGUCGCAAGAUUAAAACUCAAA